CCCAUCCACCCAUCCCUCCAUCAUCCAUCCAUCCUCCAUCCAUCCAUCCAUCCAUCCAUCCUCCAUCCCCCUCACCCCCCCAGGCCAGCAGAGAGCUUCAAGCCCGGCUUCGUGCCGCCGCGGGACCUGGGCAAGCACAGCCCCCUCAUCAAGAGCCAGUCCCUGCUCAGCAUCCGCCGGGUGCGGGGCCGGGAGGACGGACCCGAACCGGAGCCAGCCCCGGCCCCGGCCCCGGUCCCCCGACGGGAGCGCCGCAACGUGCAGCGCACGCAGAGCGUCCCGGCGCGGAGCAGCGGAGCGCGGCGGCACCAGAGCAGCGCCCAGCACCGGGCAGAGCCGCCCGCCGCGGACCCCCCGGGGGCCAUUGGCCCCUGCGACGCGCCGGGCCGCGGGAAGCUCCGCAAGUCCACGGUGCCCUGGCAGCGCUACGUGGAGGAGGUGGCUGCGGUGGUGGCACAGGGCGAGCUCUAUGGCAUCCACCCGCUGGAAGAGCAUGGGCGGGUGCUGGAGGCGCUGAGGAAGGAGGUGGAGGAGAAGCAGGAGAAGACGCAGCUGCUGGAGCUGCGCGUGGCCGAGGUGGAGGCUCAGCACCAGGGGAUGGAGCAGGAGCAGGAGCAGCACCGGGAGCAGCUCCAGAGGCUCCAGAACCAGCUGGAGGAGGCCAAUGCCCGAGCAGCCAGUUUGGGAGCCAGGUAGAGGAGGGGAUGGGGAGUGGGUGACACAAAGAGUGGGUGCUCCAAACUAAUGGGUGCCCCUAAGCAAU
rnacentral:lncRNA from 1 species